rnacentral:piRNA from 1 species
UUUUUCUUUACGUUGUACACU